rnacentral:rRNA from 1 species
CGCGGCCUAUCAGCUUGUUGGUGAGGUAACGGCUCACCAAGGCGACGACGGGUAGCCGGCCUGAGAGGGCGACCGGCCACACUGGGACUGAGACACGGCCCAGACUCCUACGGGAGGCAGCAGUGGGGAAUAUUGCACAAUGGGCGAAAGCCUGAUGCAGCGACGCCGCGUGAGGGAUGACGGCCUUCGGGUUGUAAACCUCUUUCAGCAGGGAAGAAGCGAGAGUGACGGUACCUGCAGAAGAAGCGCCGGCUAACUACGUGCCAGCAGCCGCGGUAAUACGUAGGGCGCAAGCGUUGUCCGGAAUUAUUGGGCGUAAAGAGCUCGUAGGCGGCUUGCCACGUCGGUUGUGAAAGCCCGGGGCUUAACCCCGGGUCUGCAGUCGAUACGGGCAGGCUAGAGUUCGGUAGGGGAGAUCGGAAUUCCUGGUGUAGCGGUGAAAUGCGCAGAAAUCAGGAGGAACACCGGUGGCGAAGGCGGAUCUCUGGGCCGAUACUGACGCUGAGGAGCGAAAGCGUGGGGAGCGAACAGGAUUAGAUACCCUGGUAGUCCACGCCGUAAACGGUGGGCACUAGGUGUGGGCAACAUUCCACGUUGUCCGUGCCGCAGCUAACGCAUUAAGUGCCCCGCCUGGGGAGUACGG